rnacentral:lncRNA from 1 species
CCUCCAGGAAUCUAUCAAAAAAAAAAAAGACAUCCUAGAAGGAAUUUCAAGCUCUAAUCUCUUUUACAAAUUUGGCGUAAAAAAUUUGUGCAUCGGUUAAUCUUUAAGUUCAAUUAGAUACUGAUACUCAAUGAAAAAAAUAAUGAACUAUUGAACUUGGUCAAUUCUUAGUACAUGUUUGGAACUUGGUCGAUUCUUAGAAGAAAUUUGGCGGAAAGAAAGUGCAUUGGUUAAUCUAAACUAUUAUAUUAACCAAGUGAUUAGUCUCGAGUGGUUAAUGAGUUCC